CCCCGCCGCCGCCACCCACCGCCCCGCACCCGCCCGGCACCGGCCCGAUGGACUCUCCGAGGCCCGCAGGGCGGCUCGACCGCGGGACCGGGCGGGCGGAGCCCCGUCCCGACAAACUUCCCGGCCGCGGCCCCAGCCUCACCUCCGGGAGCGCUCUACACCCUCGGCGGCGUCCUGGCCCGCGGCUCCGGGACCUCGCGCGCCGGGAGACCGGGCGCCGGCGGCGGCAGUGGUUGCUGACCCCGCAGGGUCGGGGUAGCCCGGGGAAGCAGCGGUGGCGGCGGCGCUGGCGGCGGAGGCUCCAUCUUCCCGGGGCGCUCACGCCGCGGUUCCGACGCGCAGACCCGAGCGGGACAUUCGCUACAUUGUUGGCAUUCCACGGGCGUCACGUGACCCCUCCUCCCGCGUCACUCCCGGCCGCAUACCAGCCCGGGCGGGGCGCCCGCGGCCUUGCUCCCCGGCGCCCGCUCCGCCCCGCCGGCCGCUUCCUGCACCUCCCGGCCCGGCCGCCACCUGCCCUGCGGUGGAAGUCCGCAGCCCGGGAGCGCCGCUUCUCCCUAGCGCCUUGUAGCAGUGGGUUAAAAAAAACCUGACCCUGUGUGCUUACACUGACAUCUUGCACGGUGAUGGGAGCCCAAUACAUCUCCAACAAUUCAGCCUGUGAAAGAGGAGCCCUGAUUGGCCGUCGGUGGUGGCAGCGCAUUUAAUCCCUGCACUCCAGAGGCAGAGGCAGGCGGAUCUCUGAGUUUGAGGCCAACUUGGUCUAUAGAAUUGAGUUCCAAGACAGCCAGGGAUACACAGAGAAACCCUGUCUCAAAAUGAAUAAAUAAAAUAAAAAAGAAAAGUACAUGUAUUGUAGAUUUGACUUCCAAUCUGAAGCCUAUUGGGAGUCUAGUGUAAAUUGAAUCAUAGUAUGGGACCUCUUACUGGCUUUUGAUUCCGGGUUGCCUGUGAGGUGAGCAGCUUUAUCCUAGCAAGAGAACAGAGCCAGCCGGCCACAGACUUACAAAGCUAGGCAACACUUCAUCUCCUUUAAGUUGCUUACUAAUACAAAUGGACUGGGGAGAUGGCUUAGCAGUCCAUUGCUAUACAGUUCUGGCAUCUACAUUGAAAAACCUCACAAAUGCCUGUAACUCCAGUGCCAAGGGAUCCAAUGCCUUGUUCUGGCCUCUGUGGAUGUACACACACACAUACAUACACACAUGUAUACAUAAAACACACACACAAAUAAAUAUGAAUUAAAUCUUAAAACUUUUUUGCACUUGGAGUGACUAAUAUGAUACUGAUUAUAACAGUGAAAAGUCAAGAACAACCUAAGUGUGCACCAACAGAGAAGGACCAACAUUCACAUAGUGCUAUAUGUACAGGAACUAAGAAAUUGGCUUUGUUUUUCCAAAGGAUAAAUGAGAAUUCAGAACCAAUGUGGAAUUGAAAAAAAAAAAACCAAUUUGCAGAACUAUACAUUAUGAUACCAUAUUCACAAAUAAACAGAGCCUUUGGAACCCAUACUAUCAUAUUUUGUGUGAAUAUAAACUCUUACACACCAAAUUCAUGGCAGCUGUGGCCUAUAUAGAAGGAGCAGAAAUUGGACUGAGAGAAAAAUCUUCAACCUAAUCUAUAGCGCUUGAUUGCUUUAAUUAAAAGGAUGAGAGUGGUGGCUGGAGAGAUGGCUCAGUGGUUAAGAGCAUCGGCUGUUCUUCCAUAGUUUGACCAGGGUUCCAUUCCCAGCAACCACAUGGCAGCUCACAGCUGUCUGUGAUCUAGCACCCUUGCUCAAACUAUACACGCAGGCAAAAAUGUCAAUGCAUGUGAAAAUAAAUUUAUCUUUUAUAUGUGUGUUUUUUAGGUUUAUGUAUCUGAGUGUUUUGCUUGAAUGUGGGUGUGUGCAGCAUAUGUGUGCCUGGUGCCCAUGGAGGCCAGAAAAGGGCAUUGGAGCCCUUGGAACUAGGAUGGCUGUGAGUCACAAAGGCUGUAGUACACUAUGCCUUUAAUGUUUUAAAAUACAUGUAUUUGAGAUUAGAGACAAAUUGAAAACAAAUGUCCAAACAGUCAAUCAAAUCAGGCAUUGUGGUGCAGGCCCAUAGUCCCAGCACAAUGAGAUGGAGGCAGGAGGAGCAGAAGGUCUUCUAUGCUAUGUAGUGAAUUCUAGUCCAGCUUUGAGACCCUAUCUUUAAAAUAAUAUUAAUAUAAGUAUAGUCUCUGAAUACAGUGACUUUUUAUAAUAACUUUUGGUAUAUUGAUAGUAGGAUAGCCCACAAAGGAUAUUUUUAAAUUAGCAAACUAUACACACUCACGUGAUGUGUGUAGCUGAGGAGACACAGAGAACACAAGGCCAGUGGAGCACAACAUCAUCUUUAGUGACAAAAUAAUCAAGUGCAGACCCAUACAUUAUUUGUGUGUGCUGUGUUGUAGCCUCCCAUCCAGUGAUGCUCUGGUGCUUCCAGGUUAUCUCAUCCAAUCUGCAAAGUAGCCCUGUUAUCAACCCUUUCUGAUAGAAAAACAACAACUUCGCCAAGUAAUUUGCCCAGGAUCAAAGGGCUGGGAUUUGAAUCUCUGGAGCUCUAGCUGCAGCAGAGCUUAGGAGCACUGAAUUACUAGGCUCUCUUCACAAGAAGUCAUGAUUAUAAUGUACCUAGAGAUAUGGAACAAGCCAAAUUAAACCCCUUUACACUUUCAGUGUUGUUGCUUUGUUGUUGCAUUGCUAGAGGUGGAAACUAGGGCCUCCCAGGUGCUAAGAAGGCCCUCUGCCACUAGGCUAUAGCCCAGCAGUACCUGAAGACUGGAGGAGUGUGUCUGAGAGAAGAGAUGUGUGCCCAGGGAGGAGAGGAGCACAAAAGCCCAGGUCCCUAGUCAGGGCAGAGACAGAAGUCAUAGAUGUGGCUAACACUGGCUGUCC
ensembl:lncRNA